rnacentral:lncRNA from 1 species
UAACCAGCAAACAUCUUCAAUGAAUUUGAGGAUAUCACAAAAUACAGAAGAAUGCAACCCGGAGAAGUUUUGGAAGACAGAAUCAUUUGGCAUUGAACCUAUUGACGAGAGGACAGGGAGAAGGAAAGUAUUAGAUUCAUAUCAGAAGACAAGUAACCAUAACAACAGUCAUUUCGAUGCUGUAUCCCGGAAAGAUGACCACACACCUUCACCAGUGAACAAAGAGAUUUCAAAAUUGAGAAAAGAAAAUGUUAUUAAAAGACUUAAAAAGGAACCGCAAUUAUUAUAUCCACUAGAACUGACAACAAAAGAAUAUAUAGGACCGUGAUCAAAUACUGCCC